rnacentral:rRNA from 1 species
AACGCGAAGAACCUUACCUGGGUUUGACAUCCCCGGACAACACUAGAGAUAGUGCUUCUGUAGCAAUACAGCCGGGAGACAGGUGCUGCAUGGCUGUCGUCAGCUCGUGUGGUGACAUGUUGGGUUAAGUCCCGCAACGAGCGCAACCCCUGUCCUUAGUUGCCAGCAUUCAGUUGGGCACUCUAGGGAGACUGCCGUGGUGAACACGGAGGAAGGUGGGGAUGACGUCAAGUCCUCAUGGCCUUUAUAUCCAGGGCGACACACGUGAUACAAUGGACGGUACAGAGGGUCGCGAAGGAGCAAUCUGGAGCUAAUCCCAAAAAGCCGUUCUCAGUUCGGAUUGGAGUCUGCAACCCGACUCCAUGAAGUUGGAAUCGCUAGUAAUCGCGGAUCAGCACGCCGCGGUGAAUACGUUCCCGGGCCUUGUACACACCGGCUAC